rfam:Schistosoma mansoni strain Puerto Rico chromosome 5, complete genome
AUUCAGAUGAUGAGUCCCAAAUAGGAUGAAACGAGCAUCCUAGAU